rnacentral:rRNA from 1 species
GCCAGACAAGUCCAUUGGGAAAUCCACGCGCUCAACGCGUGGGCGUCAGCGGAAACUGUCUGGCUUGGGGCCGGAGGACUCGAGGGGUACGUCUGGGGUAGGAGUGAAAUCCCGUAAUCCUGGACGGACCACCGGUGGCGAAAGCGCCUCGAGAGGACGGACCCGACAGUGAGGGACGAAAGCCAGGGUCUCGAACCGGA